ACGCUGGCGGUGUGCUUAACACAUGCAAGUGGUGCGACGAACCAGAGCUUGCUCUGGGGCAAAGCCGCGAACGGGUGAGUAACACGUGGGUAAUCUACCCCGAUGACCGGGACAACCCGAGGAAACUCGGGCUAAUACCGGAUGUGGUACGGAGACAUAAGUCUCUUUACUAAAGGUAGCUUCGGCUUCCGCAUUGGGAGGGGCCCGCGGCCCAUUAGCUAGUUGGCGGGGUCAAGGCCUACCAAGGCAACGAUGGGUAGCUGGUCUGAGAGGACGAUCAGCCACACUGGGACUGAGACACGGCCCAGACUCCUACGGGAGGCAGCAGUGGGGAAUCUUGCGCAAUGCGCGAAAGCGUGACGCAGCAACACCGCGUGAGGGAAGACGGCCUUAGGGUUGUAAACCUCUUUCAGAUGGGACGAAGGUGAUGCGGUGAAUAGCCGAUGUCAUUGACGGUACCGUCAGAAGAAGCUCCGGCUAACUACGUG
rnacentral:rRNA from 1 species